GGACCCGCACAAGCGGUGGAGCAUGUGGUUUAAUUCGAUGCAACGCGAAGAACCUUACCUGGUCUUGACAUCCUGCGAACUUUCUAGAAAUAGAUUGGUGCCUUCGGGAACGCAGUGACAGGUGCUGCAUGGCUGUCGUCAGCUCGUGUCGUGAGAUGUUGGGUUAAGUCCCGUAACGAGCGCAACCCCUAUCCUUAUUUGCCAGCACAUCAUGGUGGGAACUAUAAGGAGACUGCCGGUGAUAAACCGGAGGAAGGCGGGGACGACGUCAAGUCAUCAUGGCCCUUACGACCAGGGCUACACACGUGCUACAAUGGGAAGGACAAAGAGCCGCGAAGCCGCGAGGUGUAGCUAAUCUCAGAAAACGUCUCGUAGUCCGGAUUGGAGUCUGCAACUCGACUCCAUGAAGUCGGAAUC
rnacentral:rRNA from 1 species